GUGUCAGCAGCCGCGGUAAUACGAAGGGUGCAAGCGUUGUUCGGAAUUAUUGGGCGUAAAGCGCGCGCAGGCGGGUCAGCAAGUCAGAUGUGAAAUCUCGGGGCUUAACCCCGAAACUGCGUCUGAAACUACUAACCUAGAAUAUCGGAGAGGAAGAUGGAAUUUCGCAUGUAGGGGUAAAAUCCGUAGAGAUGCGAAGGAACACCAGAGGCGAAAGCGAUUUUCUGGACGAUUAUUGACGCUGAGGCGCGAAAGCGUGGGGAGCAAACAGGAUUAGAAACCCUAGUAGUCC
rnacentral:rRNA from 1 species